UACGGAAGGGGCAAGCGUUAUCCGGAAUGAUUGGGCGUAAAGCGUCUGUAGGUGGUUUAUUAAGUCUACUGUUAAAGAUCAGGGCUUAACCCUGAGCAGGCAAUAGAAACUAAUAAGCUAGAGUACGGUAGGGGCAGAGGGAAUUCCCGGUGUAGCGGUGAAAUGCGUAGAGAUCGGGAAGAACACCAACGGCGAAAGCACUCUGCUGGGCCGAAACUGACACUGAGGCGCGAAAGCGUGGGGAGCGAACAGG
rnacentral:rRNA from 1 species